UGGGGAAUAUUGCACAAUGGGGGAAACCCUGAUGCAGCGACGCCGCGUGAGUGAAGAAGUAUUUCGGUAUGUAAAGCUCUAUCAGCAGGGAAGAUGAUGACGGUACCUGAGUAAGAAGCCCCGGCUAACUACGUGCCAUCAGCCGCGGUAAUACGUAGGGGGCAAGCGUUAUCCGGAUUUACUGGGUGUAAAGGGAGCGUAGACGGCAUGGCAAGUCUGAAGUGAAAGCCCGGGGCUCAACCGCGGGACUGCUUUGGAAACUGUUAAGCUGGAGUGCAGGAGAGGUAAGUGGAAUUCCUAGUGUAGCGGUGAAAUGCGUAGAUAUUAGGAGGAACACCAGUGGCGAAGGCGGCUUACUGGACUGUAACUGACGUUGAGGCUCGAAAGCGUGGGGAGCAAACAGG
rnacentral:rRNA from 1 species